GAGCAGAUAAUUAGUAGGUUGUGUUGUUUAGUAAUUAUUAUAAAGAGCUAAGCACUUCCCUUCUAAAGUCUACUU
ensembl:miRNA